rnacentral:rRNA from 1 species
GACGAACGCUGGCGGUAUGCUUAACACAUGCAAGUCGAACGGAAAGGCACUGCUUUUGUGUGGUGCUCGAGUGGCGAACGCGUGAGUAACACGUGAGUAACCUGCCCUUGACUUUGGGAUAGCUUAAGGAAACUGGGGCUAAUACCGGAUAGGAGCUCCUGCUGCUUGGUGGGGGUUGGUAAGUUUCGGCGGUUGGGGAUGGACUCGCGGCUUAGCAGCUUGUUGGUUGGGUAGUGACGUACUCAGGCUUUGAAAGGUAGCCAGCCUGAGAGGGUGAUCGGCCACAGAGGGAAUGAGAUACGGCCCAGACACCGACGAGAGGCAGCAGUGGGGAAUAAUGCUCAAUCAGCGGAAGCCUGUGGCAGAAACGCGGCGUGCGGAAUGUCGGCUUUCGUGAUGUAAACCGCUCUCGCCUGUGACGUAGCGUGAGGGACGGUAAUGAGGAAAGAAGCACCGGCUAACUACGU